rnacentral:rRNA from 1 species
AGCAGCCGCGGUAAUUCCAGCUCCAAUAGCGUAUAUUAAAGUUGUUGCAGUUAAAAAGCUCCGUAGUUGAAUUUCGGAAUCUGUCCGUUGGUCGGGCUUCAUUGUCCGUACUGGUGUGAUGGGUUCUUACCUUCUGAAUAACCAGCAUGCCAUUCAUUUGGUGCGUUGGGGAAGCAGGACUAUUACCUUGUAAAAAAUUAGAGUGCUCAAAGCGGGCUAGUGCCUGAAUACAUUAGCAUGGAAUAAUAAAAUAGGACGGCAUGGUUCUGUUUUGUUGGUUUCUAGGAUCACCGUAAUGAUUAAUAGGGAUAGUUGGGGGCAUUAGUAUUCAAUUGUCAGAGGUGAAAUUCUUGGAUUUAUUGAAGACUAACUUCUGCGAAAGCAUUUGCCAAGGAUGUUUUCAUUAAUCAAGAACGAAAGUUAGGGGAUCGAAGACGAUCAGAUACCGUCGUAGUCUUAACCAUAAACUAUGCCGACUAGGGAUCGGACGAUGUUAAUUUUUUAAUGACUCG